CGCGUUGGAGCUCGACCGGUGCGGCGCCUGCGCACUGGAACCAGGCGUGCGGCGCCCCAGGCGCCGGGCCUGCGGCGGCCGGAACCGGAACGCGCGCCCGCGGGGUAGGAGACCUGGAGCUGGAGAACCCGCCCGCCAGAGUCGUAGUAGUGGAUGGGGAGUAGCCGUCCCAUUUUCAACACAUGUCUCAUUCUAAAUUGACGUUUUGGUGGGCUGGCCGAAGAAGGAGAAAGACCCGCGGCUCCGACCUCUGACCUCUAACCCCGGACGCACUUUGAUUUCGCCGGCUUGCGCGGAAGGCUGACUCCCUGGGCCGCGGCCUGGCGCGGGAGCCGCCUGUGGGGUGUCCCCGGCGCGGGAGGGUGCUCUGGUUCAGGCAGGUUCCCGUUGCGGCGGGGUUCCCUCGGUUGGGAGGAAUGCCCCUGCCGAGGGUAUGCUCCGGCUGGAGGGGGUGUCCCUAACGGCGGGAAUACCUGGACUGGCUGGGGUGUCCCACUGGGGAGGGUUUCCCGGUGGGGAGGUGUCUGGCGGGGGAGCGGCUCCGGCUAAGCAUGGGUGUUCUGCUAGGAGGAUGUGUCUGGCUGGGGGCGGUGUCCCAAUCGGGAGGGUUGCCCUGAUGGGGGAGGUUCUACAGUUGUGGAGAUGCCAACCUGGGGGGCGCUCCGGUUGGGGGGUGUGCCCUCUCUGGUUACCCCGCUCUCGCUGCCACUCAUAGGCCCGCUGCCCAGGUAUGCACAAGUCAAGGCCUUUUCUGCAGACCAAGUAGCCUUCCCUGGAGAGCGCCCCCAGCACCACGGAAACUACCUACAUGCCCCGCGGUGGUCAGCCCGCCUUAUCCCAGCCCCGAGACCCAAAACAAGAAGCAUGGACUGAAUUUGAGGUUUCUGGAUGGUCGUGUGAACCGAGGGGACGGGUACUGGACUGACAAGAAAUGAGCCUUGAAGGUCAAUCUGGGUGACACCCGAGUCUCCUGAUGGAGUUUCACUAUGUUGCCCAGGCUGAUCUGGAACUCCUGACCUCAAGCAAUCCACCUGCCUCAGCCUCCCAAAGUACUGGGAUUACAGGAGGGAGCCACCGUGCCCGGCCUGGUCCUGUGCAUUUUAUAGAUAAGGUAACUGACAAACCUAGCCACAGUCACCCCUUCGCCCUAAAGGAGAACUGGAAUUUGAACCCAGAGCCUUCUUCACCACCAUCUCCGUUGUUUCUGGAAGCACCCUCCAGGCAGGCCAGCCAGCAUCACGGGGCCUCCCCUGGGGCUGGAACGUCUGCAGGAUGCCCCUUUGAGAAAUGCUGUUCCACAGAACCCUGCCUUUCAGGCCUUGGAGACGUGGGCAGGGGAGAAGCAGCGUCCCUCAGAGCCAGGCCUGGCAGUGGUGCUAGCAGGGGCCAAGGCCCAGGGAGCAGGGUCUCCUGUCGGAGGGACC
rnacentral:lncRNA from 1 species